AUGUAAUCUAAUGCCUACAACAUUAAUGCACCGGAUCCCAUUAGAACUCCAUAGUUAAGCAUGCUUGGGCUAGAGUAGUACUAGGAUGGAUGACCACUCAGGAAGUCCUAGUGUUUUACAUA
rnacentral:rRNA from 1 species